UGGUGGAGUGAUUUGUCUGGUUGAUUCCGUUAACGAACGAGAUCUCGACCCUUAAAUAGGCGUAACCGUCGCUUAGGGAAUCCUGUACGAGCCUUGUGCUUUGUACAGCUUCCUGAGACAGGUUAGGGACUUCUUAAGGGGACUGUGUGCCGUCUAGCACGCGGAAGAGCGAGCCAAUAGCA
rnacentral:rRNA from 1 species